ACGACCUUACUUGAACAGGAUCUGUUCUAUAGGCCCGUAACUCUGUGUCCUUAAGUUCAAAAGAGACAGGAUUUCAAGUCUGGUUGAUGAAUCACGACUGUGUGAUCUAAGCGUGAUUACUGGUCUGGGGUAUGCCCUCGCUGGCUUCACUUCUACCGCAGGGGAUCGUUCUUAGCUUGCCUUGAGCGGCUGGGAAGGUUACGCAGUUGUCUGACAGGCU
rfam:Gossypium hirsutum cultivar TM-1 chromosome 1, whole genome shotgun sequence